rnacentral:rRNA from 1 species
AUUGAACGCUGGCGGCAUGCUUUACACAUGCAAGUCGAACGGUAACAGCACUUCGGUGGCUGACGAGUGGCGAACGGGUGAGUAAUACAUCGGAACGUGCCUAGUAGUGGGGGAUAACUACUCGAAAGAGUAGCUAAUACCGCAUGAGAUCUAAGGAUGAAAGCAGGGGACCUUCGGGCCUUGCGCUACUAGAGCGGCUGAUGGCAGAUUAGGUAGUUGGUGGGAUAAAAGCUUACCAAGCCGACGAUCUGUAGCUGGUCUGAGAGGACGACCAGCCACACUGGAACUGAGACACGGCCCAGACUCCUACGGGAGGCAGCAGUGGGGAAUUUUGGACAAUGGGCGCAAGCCUGAUCCAGCAAUGCCGCGUGCAGGAUGAAGGCCUUCGGGUUGUAAACUGCUUUUGUACGGAACGAAAAGCCCUCUUCUAAUACAGGAGGGUCAUGAAGGUACCGUAAGAAUAAGCACCGGCUAACUACGUG